rnacentral:pre_miRNA from 1 species
UACGGUCAGCAGGGGUUUCUUUCGGCCUUCAGAUGCGUCAUAUCCUGUAGGCCGGCGGAAACUACUUGCCGACUCUACU